CCCAUAGCGGAGGAAAAGAAACCAACAGGGAUUGCCUCAGUAACGGCGAGUGAAGCGGCAAAAGCUCAAAUUUGAAAUCUAGCACCUUCGGUGUUCGAGUUGUAAUUUGAAGAUGGUAACCUUGGGUUUGGCUCUUGUCUAUGUUCCUUGGAACAGGACGUCAUAGAGGGUGAGAAUCCCGUCUGAUGAGAUGCCCAUUCCUAUGUAAGGUGCUAUCGAAGAGUCGAGUUGUUUGGGAAUGCAGCUCUAAGUGGGUGGUAAAUUCCAUCUAAAGCUAAAUAUUGGCGAGAGACCGAUAGCGAACAAGUACAGUGAUGGAAAGAUGAAAAGAACUUUGAAAAGAGAGUGAAAAAGUACGUGAAAUUGUUGAAAGGGAAGGGCAUUAGAUCAGACUUGGUGUUUUACGAUUAUCUUCUCUUCUUGAGUUGUGCACUCGUAUUUCACUGGGCCAGCAUCGAUUCGGAUGGUAAGAUAAUGACAGUUGAACGUGGCUCCAUUCGUGGAGUGUUAUAGCUUCUGUUGAUAUUGCCUGUCUGGAUCGAGGGCUGCGUCUUUGACUAGGAUGCUGGCGUA
rnacentral:rRNA from 1 species